GACGGAGCAACGCCGCGUGAGGGAGGAAGGUCUUUGGAUUGUAAACCUCUUUUCUCAAGGAAGAAGUUCUGACGGUACUUGAGGAAUCAGCCUCGGCUAACUCCGUGCCAGCAGCCGCGGUAAUACGGGGGAGGCAAGCGUUAUCCGGAAUUAUUGGGCGUAAAGCGUCCGCAGGUGGUCAGCCAAGUCUGCUGUCAAAUCAGGUUGCUUAACGACCUAAAGGCGGUGGAAACUGGCAGACUAGAGAGCAGUAGGGGUAGCAGGAAUUCCCAGUGUAGCGGUGAAAUGCGUAGAGAUUGGGAAGAACAUCGGUGGCGAAAGCGUGCUACUGGGCUGUAUCUGACACUCAGGGACGAAAGCUAGGGGAGCG
rnacentral:rRNA from 1 species